GGAGUGCCCGGAUGUGGGCCUGAGGGGGCGUGGCUCCGCGGCGCCGCUGGAUGCGGCAGGUGUUUCUGUGGUUACCGCUUGUUUACUCGGUAAACAGCCGGGUCCCUCUACCAUCAUCUCCAACUUCAAGAAAAAAGUGCCAAGCACCGCAAGCCAUUCCGCUCUUACUACUAACCAGAUUUUAUUUUUGAAGACAAGCUUGCAUCUGAGUAAUUAAUAUAAAAACAAAGUGUGUAAGGAGAUUUUAGAAUCUCCCGAGGCAAAACUGCUUCUGGGAGGAGGCCAGAUCCCCAGGGACUGGAAUUACAGAGGAUUAUGAACCACCAGGUGGGUGCUGGGAUUCAAACCCACGGUCCUAUGAGUGAGUUACAAACGCUGUAAACCACUGAGUCAACUCACUAGCCCAAAAUCUACUUUAAAACCAAAAGAACUUCUUGACAGCCUUACCAGUUUGACAAGUCUAUGAAGCCGUGGAAACAAGAGAAGUUCAAGACUGGACCCUGGAGCCCAAGGGACUGCCCAAGGUGCAUAAUUUACACACCAAAGCAGACCUGGCCUCCAGGUUCCCCAGCAACCCCUCAGUCCCUACCUGGCAUACCCUGCCCCCAACCGGGAACUUUCCAGCCCAGGUGCUUGUCUGCCCCCCCCCCAAGAGUCUCCUCCCAAUAUAAUCCAGACAUUUAGUCUCUCUACCCUUCUCUCUCUUCCUCUCCUUCUCUUCUUUCUCUUCCAGUGCUCCCUUUUGCUCCCCCACCCCCAUCCCCAUGGCAAAUCCCAUGGCCUCAAUUCCUGGGGUCAGUGAACCUGCCCGCCUAAGAGCAGCAUCCCAGUAAGCCUGCUUUGAGGUACUCU
rnacentral:lncRNA from 1 species